CCAUUGUGCGUUGUCUUGUAUUAAUGUUGUGACCUGCUGUUGAAUACACAACCUCUACCAUGAGCCCAGCAGUUUCACGGCUCCACUGUCUUCGUCAGGGUGACAGGCCUAUAGAGGAUUACUUGCCUGGGGGAAAGAUUUGUUGGUCACUGGAGAGAUAUAUUGACUACGCUUUGUUGCUGGCUGGUUCACCCCUUACCUGUUGGGAUGGCUGAUGAGGAACCCUGUAAUUGUGCACUACCAUCCGCACCAGAGCACUUUCACAUCC